UACGAAGGGUGCAAGCGUUACUCGGAAUUACUGGGCGUAAAGCGUGCGUAGGUGGUGGGUUAAGUCUGUCGUGAAAGCCCCGGGCUCAACCUGGGAAUGGCGAUGGAUACUGGCUCGCUAGAGUGCGGUAGAGGAGAGUGGAAUUCCCGGUGUAGCAGUGAAAUGCGUAGAGAUCGGGAGGAACAUCAGUUGCGGAAGGCGGCUCUCUGGACCAGCACUGGACACUGAGGCACGAAAGCGUUGGGGGAGCCAAACAGG
rnacentral:rRNA from 1 species